GCCGAUAUGGCUCAGUUGGUAGAGCGGCGCAUUCGUAAUGCGUAGGUCAGGGGUUCGAGUCCCCUUAUCGGCU
rnacentral:tRNA from 1 species